GUGCUGGUUUGGGCGGCACAUAUACUAAAAUUGGGAUGAUACAGAGAUUAACAUGCCCCUGUGCCAAGGAUGACAUGCAAAUUCAUGAUGCAUUCCAUGUUUUU